rnacentral:lncRNA from 1 species
CCUGCACAAGACGAACAUAUAGUAGUAAUUUAGAGAAUACAAACUAAAGGCACCGUAUAUAGGCGGAUAAAUUACGCUAAUGAUACGAUCAUAUCAAGAAUCUAGAUGUUACUUCUUCAAUAAAUCACCAAGCAUGCAUGAACAAUUUCUCAAAACAUCGCAGCGGAAUAAAACAUCAUUACAUCGACACCUAAAUAAAAUAUUUCAACAGUCAUCCAAAUAUAAUAAGUCACCAAGUUGCCAUGUCAUCACAAUACACAUAACAUCAUUGAUACAUCGUCUCAAAAUCUCCAACAGACAUAAAUAAAGACAAACAUCAAAGACCGACUCGUAAUCAGAGCCCUAAAAACCAAGGCACCAAAAGCAGUAGACGAGGUAGCUCCAAGCUAUCCUCAAGCGACUCCCAAAGCAAACAAACUACUCUUGCACACUGUCUAUCCAUCCAUAUGGAUAAGGAUGACGAUCAACCAAACGACCACUGGGGGUUAGUUCAGUUUUCACAAUUAAACAUAAUCUAACAUAAGUAUUGAAGGAUUCAUACAUAUCAAAUAUACAUACUCAACAUUCCUAGAAUGCUAACUCUACAUGAAUAUUAUCCCUCAUUCCAUACACAUCAUGUUAUCACACUUCUAUACGAGCAUAGCAAGCAUAUUCAAUCUCUAAUCAAAUCAUCAACAUAAGCUCAUCACUUAAUAACAUCAAUCAAUAUAAGAAUUUUCAAAGAUCGUAUCGUUUUGCCGUUUUUCAAAGAAUCUAAGUUUUCAAAGCAAACUCAAGUUAAAGUUCAUGAUUCCCAUCCAAAACAUUUUUAUAAAUCAUAACAAGAGUAAACAACCCUAACCCUACCCUUUUACACUUAUGAGUUGUGUGUUCAUUAUUUUCUAAAGAAUGUCUGUCAUUUACAUAUUGGCCCUUUAGCUCAUGAACCACUUCAUAUGAGAACAUAAUAAUUAUUCCAAGGGUUAAUAAUAUAUUUUAUCAUCUCUAACAGUAAGACAUUACUCUAACUUGAUUCAAAAGCUUAUCAUGAAGAGCUUAUCGAAAUAAGCUGAAAACAACUUAUACAAGCAUCAAAUAAAGCUUUAUCCAAACAGGCCCCUAGGUUAACAGUAAAUUUCCCCAAAAUAACACCCCCUAGCUUCAUCCAAACAGUCACUCUCCCAAAAUCAUUCAUUAUACAACAAAAUCAUCAACAACAACAACAACAGUAACGCUCUAGUCGUUGUUUUAUUUAUUAAAAUUUAUUUGGAGUAUAUUAUAUGAUUUUAAUUAAUAAUUGGUGAUUUAUGUGGUGUGGUAUAUUUUAUUAUAUAGUUUAUUUUAUAAUAAUUGGAUUAAGUGAGAAAUUAUUAUUAUUUUGAAGUUUGGGGAAUUAAUAGAAUUUAAUAGAAUUAGGAGGGAGUAAAGUGAAAUAAAGGAAAGUUGAGAAGGAAGUUAAGAAAGAAAGAAAAGAGUCAAAAACAUUCUUACGUGAAACUGUCAGUUUUGGGAGAAAGGGAGAGAAGAGCAAGUAGAGCCAAGAACCAUUGUUUGUUGUGCAUUUCUUCUGCAAUUUUAAGGUAAGGGUGAGGUUUGCUUCAGUAUUAUAGACAUUAAUUUCUGAUUUUAAGUUUAACAGAGUUUUUGGUGAGAAUUAGGGAUUAUGGGUUUUGUGAUGAAAUGAUGAUUUUGGGGGUAGAGAUUGUUGUUAUGAUGUUAGAAAUAGGUUCUAAGUGUAUACAGCAAGUUAAUUCUUAUCUGUAAACUGAUUUGGGGAGUGAAUUGAAGAAAAAUGGGAUUUUGGGGAAAAACCUGUUUUCUGUCUGUACAGAAGUUCAUCGCUCGCCUCGCGAGUAGCUUGUGCUCGCCAAGGCGAGUGAGCAACUUCAUAGCUCGCCUCGCGAGCAGACCAACUCGCCGUGGCGAGUAACCCAGUAUAAAACUUGAUUUUUAAAUUGUUGUUAUAAGAUGUUUUUGGGAUAGUUUAAUGUACCUAAAUGAUUUUAGAGAGGACUAGAGCAAGUUUUAGAUUAAAAAGAUGAAUAGGGAGCUUAGAAUUGAAGUUUGAGUGAGAAAAAUGUCAAAACUCCCGAGAGCACCAUAUUUUCACUCGCCUCGAGUUCGCCUUGAACUCGCCAUGGCGAGCAACCCGUUUUGUGAGUUCGCCAUAGCGAGCAGAUGUGCUCGCGAGGCGAGUUGCCCAGUUUUUGUAUGCUGAUUGUACUUAUAUGAAUGGUGAUGAUUGAUGUUGUUGUUGAGCGUAAUUGUGAUUAAUUGUGCAUCUUUCUGGAUUGCUGGAUUACUAGUUGUUGAUGUUGUUGAUGGCUGUAAUGUAUGUUAUAUUUAUUAAAUCAUACAUGUUGAAUAAAUUCGGAGUCAUAUGAGAAUGUAUGCAUGGUCAAGUUGUAUGUAGAUAUACACAAGUGAGUCCAUAACAUAUGCAUAAACAGCGGGAGGACUCAUGUCCUGGAGCACUAGUUGUUCACAGCGGUGAGGACUUCGAUCAUGAUGAAUGCUUUAACCAUUCAAAAGCGGUGAGAGCUUCGGUCCUGUUUGGUACCACAUGCAUAAUUGCAUUUAUUAAGGGGUCUUAGUGGUGUCGUCAUGUCAUGCAUGAGUCUUUGUUGUUGGUUGUAAUUGUUAUAAUGAUGAUGAUGAUGUUGUUGUUGAUGUAUGUAUAUUUAUACACCUAUUAUGAUGAAUUGAUUUGAAGAUAAGUUGUUGCUUUGUGAAAUAUAUAUUUAUAUUUACAAGAUGAUGUAUUGAUGUUUAAUAGGGUGUUAGAUUCAAUUGAUGAUUUUAAUAUCUAUAUUUUAUUGUUGUGAAUCUCACCCCUUCUGCUUGAAAAUGUUGCCCUUCCUAUGGGUAACUUGCAGGUGAUCCUGAGUAGUCGGUGGUGGCUCAAGUGUCGUGUCUAGGGCUCUGAUACGUGGGAUGAGAUUUCUUAUUGUUUUCUUUCCUAUGUAUCAAUUUUUGGAACAUGAUGAUGUGGCCCUAUGAUUGUUUAGAUUUCUUUGAUGAGGCUUUUAUGCCAGGAUAAUUUGAUGGAGAAUUUAACCGUUGUCAUUGUUGUUUAAAUGCAAAUAUUCCGCUGCAAGAUUAAUGAUGUUUUGAAAGUUGUUUAAUUAAAUAGUUUCAUAUGCUAUAUAAGAAAUUUUGAAAAUGUAGUGUAGCAUGCCCGUUUGGUGCUUAACACUGAUGAUUUUAUUUAUACUUUGAUAUAUUUGGGAUAUCGGGGUGUUACAAAAAACAUGCAACAAAGCAUAAAAAACUGAGAUAAAAACAAAAACGAAAUUAAGAGAGAAUUGAACUAUAAAAGAAGAGAAGAAAGAGAGAAAGCAUUUUUACAAAAGGAAUGAGAGAGAGAGUUUUCACGACCGCGGAAUGACUUCGAUUCCAACUUAGAGAGAGAGAGAGAGAGAGAGGCUUCUGACUUCGAUUUUGACCGAAGCAAGAAGCUGGUUUUGGGUUUGGAUUUAUGACUUCGAUUUUCAUUGAUGCAAGGAAGGUGGUUUGGAUUUCAGUUUUGGGAGAAGGACGAUGGUUUAGUUUUCAGUUUUCUGACCAAAGGAAUGGACGGUGGUAUUGGUUCUGACUUUGAAUCCCAUUAGAUUGAUAGGGUUGAUACAC